UACAGAGGGUGCAAGCGUUGCUCGGAAUCAUUGGGCGUAAAGAGCUUGUAGGCGGUCUGUCGCGUCUGCUGUGAAAAUCCGGGGCUCAACCCCGGACUUGCAGUGGGUACGGGCAGACUAGAGUGUGGUAGGGGAGACUGGAAUUCCUGGUGUAGCGGUGAAAUGCGCAGAUAUCAGGAGGAACACCGAUGGCGAAGGCAGGUCUCUGGGCCACUACUGACGCUGAGAAGCGAAAGCAUGGGGAGCGAACAGG
rnacentral:rRNA from 1 species